GGCCUUGUAGCGUAACGGAUAACGCAUCUGACUCCUAAUCAGAAGACCCGGGUUCGACUCUCGGCAGGGUCG